rnacentral:rRNA from 1 species
UGGGGAAUCUUGCACAAUGGGGGGAACCCUGAUGCAGCGACGCCGCGUGAGCGAUGAAGCCCUUCGGGGUGUAAAGCUCUUUCGGCAGGAACGAUAAUGACGGUACCUGCAGAAGAAGCUGCGGCUAACUACGUGCCAGCAGCCGCGGUAAUACGUAGGCAGCGAGCGUUGUUCGGAGUUACUGGGCGUAAAGAGUAUGUAGGCGGUUCUCCAAGUCUGGUGUGAAAUCUCCCGGCUUAACUGGGAGGGUGCAUUGGAAACUGGGGGGCUGGAGUGCGGGAGAGGGAAGCGGAAUUCCUGGUGUAGCGGUGAAAUGCGUAGAUAUCAGGAGGAACACCCGCGGUGUAGACGGCUUCCUGGACCGUAACUGACGCUGAGAUACGAAAGCGUGGGGAGCAAACAGGAUUAGAUACCC